AACUUGCAGCAACGGAUCACUUGGUUCUGGCAUCGAUUAAGAACGCAGCGAAAUGCGAUAAGCAGUGUGAAUUGCAGAAUUCAGUGAAUCAUCGAAUCUUUGAACGCACAUUGCGCCCUUUGGUAUUCCUUAGGGCAUGCCUGUUCGAGCGUCAUUUAAACCUUCAAGCUCAGCUUGGUGUUGGGUGACUGUCCGCCGCCCUCGGGCGUGUGGACUCGCCUCAAAAUUAUUGGCGGCCGGUACAUUGGCUUCGAGCGCAGCAGAAACGCGAACUCGGGCCCGUCGUAUUGGCUCCCAGAAGCUAUCUUCACAAUUUUGACCUCGGAUCAGGUAGGGAUACCCGCUGAACUUAAGCAUAUCAAUAAGCGGAGGCU
rnacentral:misc_RNA from 1 species